CGGAAGUAGAGUUUGUUGCCAUGGACUCUGUGAAAUCAAUGCGCGCAGGAAGGACGUGCAGGUACUCCAGUUUCCUCUCACAUUCCAAAAACGUGCAUGUUGAUGUACCAAUCAACCAAUAUGGAAGAGACAAUUAAGUCAACAACAACCUACUGAGGAGAAAGACCUGGAAGAAAGCCGGGAAUCAGGCAGGUCUUAUGCCAGUGCACUUGGCAACGGAAGAGGACAAGCUGUUGCUCCAACUGAGAAACAGAUGGCCAACUUUCUGCAAUCAAAGGAGGUGGAAGUGGAUCUUAACAACAUCGAUACAUGCAUUCCAAUGUAUGCUAGGUAUAACAGCACCACGCCUGUUAUUAUCAUAAAAAAACAAGGCAGAGAAGUGAGCAUCUGACA